ACCUGGCUGGCUAAAUUGGAAAAGCAUGUGACUCUUGAUUUCGGGGUUGUGAGUUCAAGUCCCAUAUCAGGUA
rnacentral:tRNA from 1 species